GAAUUGCUUGUUUUGUCCUUAUGCUGAUGUAUUCUUAUACAGACAUAUAAACAGGAUACUGUCUCGAGGUACUUUCAGCUCAUCCCUGAUGAGAUACUACUUCGCAACAGGAUGACCCUGCCCAAAGUUCCACCUGAAAUGGGACAGCCAAAUAUAACUCCUACAUUUCUCUUAAGGUAAAUAGGUGUUUCAGGAAGACAGGAAAGUGGGAAGAUUAUGUAGAGUGUUCUUCAUACCUCAUAACACCUUAUGGCUAAAAAGUUUUACAUUAUAACAAAUUUGUACAGUAGAAAACAGGACAUAAAAAAUAUUUCCAGAAAGUGGCUUUAAAACUAUUAUAAAUAGUAAGUUUGGCUAAUCAUUUAAUUAUGGAUUUGGAGGACAAUUUUAAGCAUUCUUAUCCCCCUUUAUUCACAGUAAAUUUAGUGUGCUUGGAGCCUAAUGAAUAGCGCAUACACAUGCAAAACCUGUUGUAGCAGAAUUAUAUGACAAGAGAAGGAUCUGUUAGUCACACAACCAAGCCAACUUUAUCUCCUCCAAAAACCUCUUGGAAUCCUUCCCGAUGCUAUGGGUCCCGUUAUGGCAUUCCCUUUCUGUACAGCCACACCCUCAAACAAUUUUUCACUUUUUUUUUUGCCACAUCCUGCAAAAACAUGAUUUUGCCUAAGCCCUGCCUAAGUGAUACUAACAAAUAGAAAAGUCCAAGAAAGCAGCAACACAAAACUCUCAGACUUUCUAAAACUGGGAAAACAUUUUUUUUUUCCUUCCUUUAUGCUAUGGCUUGUUUAAUCCUCCCUUGUUUUGUCAUAUAAUAGGAAUAAUAUUCUUGUCAUAGGUGAGUGCUUUUCAUCAGUGGCCCCACAGUUAUUUAAGCUCUGCAAAACCCAUGUAUCACAUAUAGUCCUUGUGAAUGUUAUAUCUUGCCUAAAGAAUAGUACUUCAUUUCACCUGACCAUGAUAUAGGGUCUGUGUAAACAAUAAGCAGAACCUGAAACUGUGGUUCUGUUGUGAACACUAUCAGUAAUGCUUAUUCAUGUGUAUGUAUAUAUAUGUAGGCUUACAUAUAUAUGUAUGUAUACAAAUUCACCAUAGUCCUGUAAAUACCUGUUGCAUGUGUGUGCAUACACAGGAGAAAUGUUACAUUCCGUUAAUGGUAAGGCAUACUAUUAGGUUGUAGAUAGGCAAUAUUGGCAGUUAUUUUAGCUUUUAUCUUGAUGUGUUGUGUUGCUCUUGAUCAUGUGCUGUCAGAGGAUCUUUAAGGAUGAGGGGGACGGGAAGAGGCCACUUGGAAGGUUUAUUGCACACGGCGGCAGUAGUAGCCCAAAACUUUGCACUUCUCACACAGGUGUUGGGGAUGUUCUUUGCUCUGGUCUGAAACAUCCAGGCCGUCUGGCUUUUCCAGGGGUCUCUGUUUAUGAGGAUAAACAUUAAUGUGGCACUUGAUGCACUCUUGUCCCAUGUUAGCCCAGGAGUUUCCACUCAUCCAUUUUCUCUUGCAUUUGGGGCACUUAUAUUCACCGAAGCAGCGUUUCUUGCCCUGGUAUGGGGUCAGGCCUUCUCCCUUGGGACGAGCCUGUGGGCAGUCUUUGAUGUAGUGUCCCUUGUUAAAGCAGAGGUGGCACAGGUAGUUGGGAGGUGGCCUCUUGCUGGGUUUUCUGGCUUCUGAAGAAAGGGACAGGUCAGAAAAAUGCUCAGUGAGGGAACUUAACCCAUCCACUAUGUUGUUAAGAGAGCCAUAAGGAGAUGCGCUCUUAUACAGACUGCUGCUCAGAGCCUCGCUGCGCUGGAGCUGGAAGAAGCUGUUGAGAUAGCUGGAGCUGAGCGAGGAGCCCAGCUCCGGGGGGCUCUUGGUGUAGCCGAGGUCGGGGUGCUGCGAGGAGGAGGGCUCGGGGCGGAAGGCAUCGAAGGCGCUGGCCUGGUGCGUGUCUUGCAGCGAGAGAUAGACCCAGUUGAGGAGCUGGGCGGGCUGGUACACGGACGCGGCGCUGGUGUCGAUGGCUGACAACAAGCUCAUCUUUCCCCCGAGCGGCGGCCGCCUCCGAGCUGCCGCUCCCGCUCCGGCCGCGUCCCCGUCCCCGCGCGGGCCGCCUCCUCCCGCCGCCCAGAGGACGGGCCGGGGGCUCGCCGCUCCCCGCUCGCUGCCCUACGGCCCGCGGAGCCCGCCCAGCCCCAGCGCUCCGCGCCGCACAGGCAUCGCUGCCGCCGCCCGCGGGCCGCGCAGGAAACUUUCCGCGCUCUGCUCCGGGCCCCGCUAUCUGUCUU
rnacentral:lncRNA from 1 species